rnacentral:rRNA from 1 species
GUUAGGUGGAUGACUUGGCUUAUUAAGCUGAUGAAGGGCGUACCAAGUUGCGAAAAGCCAUGGGGAAGCGCACGGAGCUUUUGAUCCAUGGGUGCCCGAAUAAGAGUCUUAACCUUUAACGGUUAUUAUACUCUAAGAGUAUAAGAGGAACGCGGGGAAUCAAAUCAUUCAAGUACCCGCAGGAAAAGAAACCAAUAGGGAUGUCCUUAGUAAAGUCGAUCGAAAAGGACAGAGAACAAAGCGAAUCAGCAUAGGUGACUAUUGCUGAAAUGUGCUGUUUUGGACCGGGAAUAUCGAACUGUUCAAAUGACCCAAACUCCACUGGAACGUGGGACCAUAGAAGGUGAAAGUCCGGUAGGGGAAGUUUGAACAGUAGUACUCGGAAUCCAGAGUACCAAGGGUCGGAAAUCCUUUGGGAAGACGGGAGUCAGAAACUUCCAAUUCUAAAUACUCAAUAAGACCGAUAGCGAACAAGUACCAUGAGGGAAAGUUGAAAAGAACUUUUGACAGAGAGUUAAAAGAGCCUGAAACCUGACAGUUACGGUAGGUUGCGGCACUACGGGUGUUGCAACGUUCCUUUCGGAUAAAGAGGCAAAGAGUUUAUGGUAGUAGCAAGGUUAAACACGUUAGUGGGAAGCCGGAGGGAAACCAACGCAGCCCGCAGCAUGCGAGGGGCGAGGUGUGAAUAGCGCCUGAAGUUACUGCUGUAAGACCCGAAGCCAAGCGAGCUAUCCCUAGACAGACUGAAGCGGACAAUCCAGUUCGUGGAGGGUCGGAGAGGUAAUGCGAGCAUGCUUUCUCGAGAGCUGGGGAUAGGAGUGAAAUGCUAAUCGUGCUUGGCCAUAGCUGGUUCCUCCCAAAUUUGGCCGCAGUCAAGCCUCUUCGGAGAUAGUUAUGAGGGUAAAGAUACUGAUUGGGGACGCAGGGCAACUACUGUUGUUCGCUCCCGAGUCAAACUCAGAAUACCAUAACGUCGUAGAUGAAGGGAGUCGGGGUAUAGGGGUAAACCUUAUAUCCGCGAGGGGAACAACCCAGACUAAAGUUAAGGUCCCAGAGUACUUACUAAGUGCAAGCGAGGUUGUUUGCAACCACAGACAGAAGGAAGGUGGGCUUAGGAGCAGCCAUCCUAUAAUAAGUGUGUAACAACUUACCUUUCGAGGUUACAUGCGCCGAAAAUGGACGGGGCUAAGUAAGUCACCGAUACUUUAGGAAACACAUAGUUUUUGUGUCUGGUUAGGGAGGCGAUCUGAAUGGGUGGAAGCGUGAGUGUGAACUUGCGUGGACCGUUUUGGAUUCGAGGAUUUUGCCGCUAGUAUUCAUCGUAGUGUGAUGAGAAUUCACAUGGCCGUAAGGGCAAGGGUUUCUUCGCACUGUUCGUCAGCGAAGAGUUAGUCGAUCCUAACCCGCAACUUAACUGUAUGCGGGGAAAGGGAAACGCGUUAAUAAUCGUGUACUAAUCUGAUACGCACGGCAACGUAAGACUGUUAAGAGACAUUUCGGGGUAGGUUGAGCAACACUGUCGUGUUGUCUAAUAAGCACAAAUCCAUGGAGUCUUGCAAUGAGGAGAAGUGGAUUAAAGCUUAGAAUAGCCAGUGUACUCUGGUUCAAUUUAUCCCUGGAAUCCAUGAAAAUUUUAACAGUAAGGAUUCAGAUUAAUCGUACCCAGAACCAGCACAGGUGCCCCUAGAAGAGAAAUCUAAGGCCUGUAGGGAAUAAGCAAGCUCAGGGAACUCGGCAAAUUAGCCCCGUAACUUCGGGAGAAGGGGUCUCAGCGUUCGUAACUGCAUAGUUGCGAGUGCUGGGCGCAGUGACUAGAGGAAUUGGACUGUUUAAUUAAAACAUAGCUGAUUGCAAAUCGGAAACGACUAGUAUAAUCGGCGACGCCUGUCCAGUGCCAGUAUCUGAAAAUCCGGUUCAACGGAUCCAAAGACUGGUUAACGACGGAGGUAACUAUGACCUUCUUAUGGUAGCGCAAUGCCUUGCCAUUUAAAUGAUGGCUUUGCCAAUGGCGUAACGAGAUUCCUACUGUCCCGAGCUUGAAACCUGAGAACUCACUUUACCGGUGCAGAAGCCGGUGACUUCCAGUGGGAUGUGAAGACCCUAGGAGCUUUACUGCAGUCUGUAGCUGUGUUAUGGGUUGUGGAUUAUAGCGUAGUCAGGAGACUUCGAAGCGCGGCCCCCAGGUUGCGUGGAGUCAACAAUGUAACACUGACAUUCAUAACUCAUAAUGCUUACUUGAAAUUAAGUUUUUGAGGACACCUAUUGAUGGGCAGUUCGGCUGGGGUGGCACUCCUACGACAAGGUAUCAUAGGAGCCCAAAGGUCAGCUCAUCCGGGUUAGAACUCCGGAGUAGAGUGCAAAAGCAAAAGCUGGCCUGACAGGAAUCCGCAAAGCAAAGAUUCCUGCCACGAAAGUGCGGUUUAGCGAUCAUCCAUGCCUCUCUUUCUGAGAGCUGGAUCUGACAGAAAAGUUACCCUAGGGAUAACAGAGUUGUUCCGUCCGAUAGUACACAUUGACGACGGAGCUUGCUUCAUCGAUGUCGACUCUUCCUAUCCUGGCCGUGCACAAGCGGCCAAGGGUGCGGGUGUUCACCGAUUAAAAGGGAUCGUGAGUUGGGUUAAGAACGAGGUGACUCAGUUCGGAUAAUAUCUACUGGAAGUGUUCUGUGUCUGAGUGGAAGGAUGAUUGAGUACGAAAGGAACGAUCAUUCGAGGCCUCUGGUGUACCAGUUAUCUGACAAGGUACUGCUGGGCAGCUACGCCUUAAGGGAUAAGAUCUGAAAGCAUCUAAGAUCGAAGCCCCCCGCGAAACGAGACACAGUUUAAGGCUCCUCGUAAAUGACGAGGUCGAUAGAAACGGGGUGUAAGUACCAAGGCAACGAGGUAUUCAGC